rnacentral:rRNA from 1 species
AGUUUGAUCCUGGCUCAGGAUGAACGCUAGCGGCAGGCCUAAUACAUGCAAGACGAACGGUAAGUUGAGUAGCAAUACUUAGCCAAGAGUGUCGUACGGGUGCGUAACACGUAUGCAAUCUACCCGCAACAGGAGGAUAGCUCGGGGAAACUCGAAUUAACCCUCCAUAAGAUCUUAGACCGGCAUCGGUUAGAGAUUAAAUCUGAGGAGGUUGCGGAUGAGCAUGCGUCUGAUUAGCUAGUUGGCGGGUAAUGGCCCACCAAGGCGAUGAUCAGUAGGGGAACUGAGAGGUUGAUCCCCCACACUGGCACUGAGAUACGGGCCAGACUCCUACGGGAGGCAGCAGUAGGGAAUAUUGGACAAUGGGUGGAAGCCUGAUCCAGCCAUGCCGCGUGCAGGAAGAAGGCCUUCUGGGUUGUAAACUGCUUUUAUCUGGGGAUAAAAAGGCCUUGCGAGGCAAACUGAAGGUACCAGAUGAAUAAGCCACGGCUAACUACGUG